ACGGGAGGCAGCAGUGGGGGAUAUUGCACAAUGGGGGAAACCCUGAUGCAGCGACGCCGCGUGAGUGAUGAAGUAUUUCGGUAUGUAAAGCUCUAUCAGCAGGGAAGAAAAUGACGGUACCUGACUAAGAAGCCCCGGCUAACUACGUGCCAGCAGCCGCGGUAAUACGUAGGGGGCAAGCGUUAUCCGGAUUUACUGGGUGUAAAGGGAGCGUAGACGGCGCUGCAAGUCAGAUGUGAAAGGCUGGGGCUUAACCCCGGGACUGCAUUUGAAACCGCAGUGCUCGAGUGCCGGAGAGGUAAGCGGAAUUCCUAGUGUAGCGGUGAAAUGCGUAGAUAUUAGGAGGAACACCAGUGGCGAAGGCGGCUUACUGGACGGUAACUGACGUUGAGGCUCGAAAGCGUGGGGAGCAAACAGGAUUAGAUACCCUGGUA
rnacentral:rRNA from 1 species